UGGGGAAUAUUGCACAAUGGGCGAAAGCCUGAUGCAGCAACGCCGCGUGAGUGAUGAAGGCCUUCGGGUUGUAAAGCUCUGUCUUUUGGGACGAUAAUGACGGUACCAAAGGAGGAAGCCACGGCUAACUACGUGCCAGCAGCCGCGGUAAUACGUAGGUGGCAAGCGUUGUCCGGAUUUACUGGGCGUAAAGGAUGCGUAGGCGGAUUUUUAAGUGAGAUGUGAAAUACCCGGGCUUAACUUGGGUGCUGCAUUUCAAACUGGGAAUCUAGAGUGCGGGAGAGGAGAAUGGAAUUCCUAGUGUAGCGGUGAAAUGCGUAGAGGUUAGGAAGAACACCAGUGGCGAAGGCGAUUCUCUGGACCGUAACUGACGCUGAGGCAUGAAAGCGUGGGUAGCAAACAGGAUUAGAUACCCUGGUAGUCCACGCCGUAAACGAUGAGUACUAGGUGUAGGAGGUAUCGACCCCUUCUGUGCCGCAGUUAACACAAUAAGUACUCCGCCUGGGAAGUACGAUCGCAAGAUUAAAAACUUAAAGGAAUUGACGGGGUCAUAGCUGUUUUCCU
rnacentral:rRNA from 1 species